CUAAUAACACCUUAAGGAUAAUACGGUACGAUACGGUGAAUACCAGCGAACGGUCUUUGCCGCCAAGUAAUAGCUCACCAUCAACAAUAAAAAUAAUAAAUAUAAAUCAUUUACGGCAUUUAGCGUGCCAAAACAAAAGCAAAAACAAAAAAGCCGAAGUUGAGAAAAAAGUCAAUGUCUUGCUCCCCACUAAAGCUGGAAGGCUAGAAAAAGCACUUGGCAAGCAGCGUGGCAAAAAGAAAGUGCAAAGUAAUUUAAACAAAAAAAAACAAAAAAAAUAAAACCUAAAACAACAAAAACCACUAAUUUCUACGACGUGAAAAAGGUGUGUGUGUAAACUGCUUGUUGUUUGUGUUUUUGUUUUUGUGUGGGAGAGUUGAAAAUUAUUCAGUACACACACAGUAAGCACGCGAGGAAGUCACUCGUCGUCGUCUUACACUGCUUUGGUCGCAACGUAAGUGUUGAAAGCAGCAUUUCCACUACUGGCACCUACAUAAGCGACUGAGCGAGUACAAGUAGGUCUUGGCAGCUGGCAGUUUGGUCUAAGUACAAGUACCAGUACUUAGUUACAUACUUACAUACAUAUUUACACUUACACGGAGUUGACGUUAGCGGCAGUGGCAGCAGGACAGUAAUUUCCUUAGCCUGGAUUUUUUUUUACAUUCUCACACACAGCCACACAUACUCGUACACACGUGCAACAUUCACUUCGUUUGUGGCCGCAGUGCAUGCAAUUCUCACCACAUUGCGUGCAGACAAACAUACAUGCAGAUAUCUGUAUGUUGUUGUAAUUUUUUUUGUUUGGCGCAUUGCUAUGCGCCCGCGUUUGGCAUACAAAUGAAGAAAUAUGAGUGCGCGUUUUUAAACUGAAAAUAUUGUAGAGCAGCACAGCGGUAGCAAAGCAGCAAUAACAAUAAGAAAAACAACAAUAAUAAUAAGAACAACAACAAUAAAAAAAUAAGAAUAACAACAACAACAUUAUUAACAACAAAAACACAUAGCGGCAACAGUGUAAGACCUACACAGUGGGUGCUAAGCGUAUACUAACAAUACCAAAAAAAACACCAGUUUACAACAACAACUGCACGAAAAGUCAAUUCAAGCGCCAUAAAGACAACCCAAACCGCUGGUCCACAGUGACGUCGUUAGCAGCAUUGUCGCCGUUGUCCACAUACUUACACUACACGAGCGCUGUGUUAUAUCCACAUCCGCUGUAGCUGACUACGUCUUCAACUUGUACACCAUCUUCGCCUUCGCCUUCACCCUCAACAUCAUCAUCAUCAUUACCCGGUUCCUAACUCGCCACUGCGUCCGUAUAAUAUUACCAUUGCAUAGCGUGUAUGUGUGUGUGUGAGUGCGCCGCAGGAGCUGCAGCAACGAAGCAAUAUUAGCGCACAAGCAAACGUAGAAAUCAAAUCUCGUGUAGCUUUAAAUGAAAUAUUAAUAUUUGUCAUCAUUCGUUUGGCGAGUUAAGUUGGCUGCAGAACGUUUUUUCCGCCAGCAAAGAAGUCAGUGACGCCGCAGUGUGGGUGACUUGCAAGUUAAAUAUAUUAAGCAAAAGAAAAAAAAAACAGAAAAAAGAAAGUAAAGAGAGCACUAAGACAGGAAGGCAGGAAGUAAAGAGCGCGUUAUACCCGCUACUACAAACAUAACCACUUAACGGACAAGCAUUUAACAAGCACAAGCUUACAAACGAGCACAUACAUACCCUCAAAGAAGCAGGGGUAAAAAUAACAGAAAAAAAAGAAAACGCGAAAAAGCUAAAAUUUCAAAGGCAAAAAAGACGCGACACUUCACAAACUUACGAGUAGUCAUCGUCAGCGUCGUUGCAGUGGUUCAACAGUUUCACUACUUUUUCGUGCUUUUGCAGCAAUUUCAGCGCUUUUUCGUCGUCAGCGCUGCACACUACAAAUUCAUAACUUUGUAAAUACACACAGAAACACUUACAUAUAUAACACACACACACACACACACAUACAUACAUACAUAUACAUAUAUAUUUGUAUGUAUAUGUAUUUGUAAGUCCCGUAAAUAGAUUUGUAACAUAUCCGUCGUUGCAGUGGUGCACGUUGCCGUGACAGUUACAGUUAUAGUGUUUAAGUAGUGUAUAACGUACGUUAUAAGUAAGCAACAACAACAAAAAACCAAUUACAACAAAUUACAACAACAAAACGUUCCUGUGCCAGUGUAUAUGUGUCUAUGUGCUACAAUUUGUAAGCUUAGCAUAUACUCACAUACAUACAUACAAAUAAUUGCUUUUGAGUGCGCGCUUGUCUCACUCUCACCCACUCUCCCUCUGCCGUUCGUUUUGUAUACGCGUGUGUGUGUGUGCGUGAAGGAUAAUACUGCAUCCAAAAUGCGUCUACAAUAUCGCAACAAGAAAGCGACACUGUGGCUGAUGGUCACCGUUGUCGUCGUCACCAUGUUCCUCUUCAAAUUCACCGAAUUCGCACCAACGUGUUUCUUCAAGAAUGACGUGACGGCGCCGGAUGGUUCGCUGAUGGUGCGCGAAGAGAAAUAUGUGAUGGGUGAAGAUCAAAAGACUUAUUCAUAUGGACGCGAAAUGCCGCUAAUAUUUAUUGGCGGUGUGCCCAGAUCGGGGACAACGCUGAUGCGCGCCAUGUUGGAUGCACAUCCGGAUGUGAGAUGUGGCCAGGAGACACGUGUCAUACCACGUAUACUGCAAUUACGCUCACAUUGGAUGAAAUCGGAGAAGGAAUCGAUGCGCCUGAUGGAGGCGGGCAUCACCAAGGAGGUGAUGAACGGUGCCAUAGCGCAAUUUUGUCUCGAAAUCAUCGCUAAACAUGGCGAACCGGCGCCUCGUCUAUGCAAUAAGGAUCCGCUGACGUUAAAGAUGGGCUCCUACGUGAUAGAACUGUUUCCAAAUGCGAAAUUCCUGUUUAUGGUGAGAGAUGGGCGCGCCACAGUGCAUUCAAUCAUCUCGCGCCAUGUAACGAUAACCGGCUUCGAUUUGACCAGCUACCGGCAGUGUAUGCGGAAGUGGAACUUCGCCAUCGAAGUGAUGCACAACCAAUGCAAGGAGAUCGGCAAGGAGCGUUGCAUGAUGGUUUACUAUGAACAAUUGGUUCUGCAUCCCGAGGAGUGGAUGCGAAAAAUAUUGAAAUUCCUGGAUGUGCCAUGGAAUGAUGCGGUGCUGCAUCACGAGGAGUUCAUCAACAAACCAAAUGGUGUGCCGCUCUCCAAAGUCGAGCGCUCCUCGGAUCAAGUUAUCAAACCGGUGAAUUUGGAAGCGCUCUCCAAAUGGGUAGGCAAUAUACCCGAAAAUGUGGUACGUGAUAUGGCCGACAUUGCGCCCAUGUUAUCGGUGCUCGGUUACGAUCCGUAUGCGAAUCCACCGGAUUAUGGUAAGCCAGAUGCUUGGGUACAGGACAAUACUUUUAAGGAUUAAUCAAAUUUCGAUGAAUUGAAGCUUAGUAAAAGCUAAUACUGAGCUUCAUAAGCCGAUUAAGGAAACUCGAUGAUUGACAAAACAAUUUUGUAUUCAAUGGAUGUAAAAACAUAAAAAUGAACUAACAUACUAAUCUACAGGCAACCUGAUAUAUCUGUAUAUGCUGUUUCAAGGAAAUCCCGCCUUAAGUGAAAUAAUAAAACAGGAUAGUUUUCAACGUGAUCACUUUAAAGUAUUUUGCAAAUCUCUUGACAUAACGAAACACUACUGGAAUAAGAACAUAAGCAGAUAGCACUAGCACUGUAAUAGAUAUACAAAA